rnacentral:rRNA from 1 species
UACGUAGGGUGCAAGCGUUGUCCGGAAUUAUUGGGCGUAAAGAGCUCGUAGGCGGUCUGUCGCGUCUGCUGUGAAAACUCGGGGCUCAACCCCGAGCCUGCAGUGGAUACGGGCAGACUAGAGUGCUGUAGGGGAGACUGGAAUUCCUGGUGUAGCGGUGAAAUGCGCAGAUAUCAGGAGGAACACCGGUGGCGAAGGCGGCUCUCUGGGCAGUAACUGACGCUGAGGAGCGAAAGCGUGGGGAGCGAACAGG